rnacentral:rRNA from 1 species
UGCCAGCCGCCGCGGUAAUACGGAGGGUGCAAGCGUUAUUCGGAAUCACUGGGCUUAAAGGGUGCGUAGGCGGUUUAGUAAGUAGGGUGUGAAAUGCCAGGGCUCAACUUUGGCACGGCGCUCUAAACUGCUAAACUUGAGUGAGAUAGGGGUGUACGGAACUUCCGGUGGAGCGGUGAAAUUCGUAGAUAUCAGGAGGAACACCGAUGGCGAAGGCACUUUACUGGGCUAUUACUAACACUCAGAGACGAAAGCUAGGGUAGCAAAUGGGAUUAGAUA